rnacentral:rRNA from 1 species
GCGGUAUGGGGCUGCGGGCUACACAUGCAGUCGAGCGGAUGAGAAGAGCUUGCUCUUCGAUUCAGCGGCGGACGGGUGAGUAAUGCCUAGGAAUCUGCCUGAUAGUGGGGGACAACGUUUCGAAAGGAACGCUAAUACCGCAUACGUCCUACGGGAGAAAGCAGGGGACCUUCGGGCCUUGCGCUAUCAGAUGAGCCUAGGUCGGAUUAGCUAGUUGGUGGGGUAAUGGCUCACCAAGGCGACGAUCCGUAACUGGUCUGAGAGGAUGAUCAGUCACACUGGAACUGAGACACGGUCCAGACUCCUACGGGAGGCAGCAGUGGGGAAUAUUGGACAAUGGGCGAAAGCCUGAUCCAGCCAUGCCGCGUGUGUGAAGAAGGUCUUCGGAUUGUAAAGCACUUUAAGUUGGGGAGGAAGGGCAGUAAGCGAAUACCUUGCUGUUUUUGACGUUACCGACAGAAAUAAGCACCGGCUAACUCUGUGCCAGCAGCCGCGGUAAUACAAAGGGUGCAAAGCGUUAAU